UCAACUUACACUUCCCCCGCCCGGGAAUUACGAGCUAUGCUUAAAACCCAAAGGAUUUGACGGUGUCCCACCCCACUAGAGGAGCCUGUUCUAUAAUCGAUGAUCCCCGCUUCACCUAACCACCCCUCGCCCAUCAGUCUGUAUACCUCCGUCGAAAGCCUACCAUGUGAACGUCCGCAGUAGGCUUAAUGAUUACCCAUCAAAACGUCAGGUCAAGGUGCAGCUCAAGAGGUGGAAAGUAAUGGGCUACAAUUUCUAACCUAGAACAAACGAAAGACUAUGUGAAACCCUAGUCAUGAAGGUGGAUUUAGCAGUAAAAAGAAAGCAGAGUGUUCUUUUUAAUCUGGCUCUGGGACGCGUACACACCGCCCGUCACCCUCUUCGAUAGUACUUCAUUUGUUCAUAACCUAGUCCCACAUUUUAGAAGAGGCAAGUCGUAACAUGGUAAGUGUACUGGAAAGUGCACUUGGUAUAA
rnacentral:rRNA from 1 species